rnacentral:piRNA from 1 species
UUAAAGAGCCUCGAGUGUCUUCCUGGUGU